CAUGGAGUUUGAUCCUGGCUCAGGAUGAACGCUAGCGGCAGGCUUAACACAUGCAAGUCGAGGGGUAUAGUUCUUCGGAACUAGAGACCGGCGCACGGGUGCGUAACGCGUAUGCAAUCUACCUUUUACAGAGGGAUAGCCCAGAGAAAUUUGGAUUAAUACCUCAUAGUAUGUGAGAAUCGCAUGGUUUUUCACAUUAAAGUUCCAACGGUAAAACGAUGAGCAUGCGUCCCAUUAGCUAGAUGGUAAGGUAA
rnacentral:rRNA from 1 species